ensembl:lncRNA
AAACAUCCCCACGAGCAAAUGGGCUCUGCAGCCUCGACAGCUGUUUGCAGGAUGAAGAGGCGUCCGAGGGCCGAGGCAGCGGGGCGGCGGGCGUGCACCGUCACCGUGUCUGUUGGCACAGCGCUCGUGUUUGUUUCUCAGGAAGAUUAUUCUAAAUCCCCAAUACUCCCCUGCAUCUCUGCAUCGGAAAAAAAAAAGGCGAAUUCCUCUUUAAAGAAAAUCAGCAUUCUCGGUUUAACCUUCUAGCGUGAUGUGCGUGCAGAAGCCACAUCUGUCCCUCCCGAAAGAAGGCCGCGUUCUUCCCCAUAACGCGGUAAUGAGAGGUCGUGCCACAGAGUCGCUGGAAGCUGCAGGAGGGAAGGCUACAUUUUCUAUUCCUUCCACCAGAACCAGGCAAGAGAUGAUGAGGAUUUUCUCCAGGUUGUCUCUGCUGAUAAUUAACCACGGCACAGAAAACUGGAGGACCAGAAUCCAAACAUGUCACCAGAACCGGGCAGGAAGUUUUCAUGCUGUCAACAAACUCGCAGGGAGACAAUUUGCAGCUGAGAAAACGGCUCCGAGUUUUCCCAGAAAAGUUUAAACGGAAGCAUUUGAAUCAGGCGUUUUGUCACUUUCCAGAGGACAUUUUGGACGUGCUCCUUACAAAUAAGUUGAAUCCGGUAUUUUUCCAGAUGUCUCCAUACCUGUUUGCUUACAGCAGAGCCCCUGCUUGACUUCUUGUUUUAAGGGUGUUUUUCGUUGGGUUUGUCAUGAACCAGUGGCUUUUCUCAACACUCCCACUUUCCGGCACGGCGUGGUAUCUAAAAAUAUUUGAAGCUCCUUACUGUAUCUGUCUUGAAUACGUCUUUUUUUAUACUGAGUCACUGGGUGCAUUGCAGGGAUGGGAGAGCCUAGGAAAAACUUUUUUUUUUUUUCCUUGUUACUGGCUUUUAGGAAAUGAUGGUAUCUGUAGAGAAUCGGAGACCAAGGGAGGAAAAAGUCUUCUCCGGCCUUAAAUUAGAUCCUUUAUCUUAACUAGUUACACAGAACUUGCUGACGCCUCAGUUUGGGGCCACGCAGUAACCCCCCAGCCGCCGUGGCGUUAACUGACUUCGGUCUUCAUGUUGCAAGUGAGUUACUUUCCCCAAAUCUCAUGUCUGCCCUUCCUUUGGAGAGCCCUCCUCAAACCUGCUCCAGAGAACCUCUUUAUUAUGAAAAUCACCAGCUUCAUUAUGGAGGCUCCGUCCAUCUCCGGAGCCGGGUGAGAGCCAGGCUGUGGUUGAUACGGAGGAGAGGCUGGUUUGGGGGCUGCUGCUGUUUCCACCCGGCUGCCCCUGGAAGGAUCCUCAGGCUCCCCCCCAUCCCCACCCCCGGCCCAAGGGAGGAGCACCACUGGGAUUCUGCACCCAGGCUCCUGGAUGCGGAAGGAGGAGGUCGUCUGCUCCCGGGAGGAUGCGAGCAGCCCGGAGAGUGAGAGAAAUGUUGGCGGAGGCCCCCCAAGCCGCACAGGGUUGGCUGGACGGGAAGGACGCUUGCCGGGGAAUCUCCUUGUCAGGUGAGGACUGGGAGCCCGGCCACUGUCCUUCCUGAGUUACAGCCCU